rnacentral:lncRNA from 1 species
GCAAACACUUACAGCUGCCACUUCCUUCAUAUGGAAUACUUUCCAACAGAAUUCUCCUGCUGACCGUAAAAAUGUGCAAAAAGUUAGCAUGUUUGUCGAUGACAUGGAUGGAGUAGCUUACGCUAUCAACAAUGAGAUUCAUGUUAGCGCUAGGUACGAAUAAAUUAAUUCAAUAAUAAAUAAACAGUUAAUGCAUGCAUAUAUGUAUAUUAAGUGACGAUAUCGAUUAUAUUUAAAUUUUAGAUUUGCCUUUCAUUUUACAGGUAUAUACAAGGUUACUCUGGUGAUGUCAGGAGAGAGAUCACCGGGGUAUUAUACCACGAGAGCACCCAUGUUUGGCAGUGGAAUGGGAAUGGUGGGGCUCCUGGAGGAUUAAUUGAAGGAAUUGCGGAUUAUGUGAGGC